rnacentral:lncRNA from 1 species
AAACUCUGUCUGGGUUAAAUGUACGUGUAUGCUUCUUCAGGAAAUGAUUCAUAAAAUACAUUUUAUGUGCAGAAAUUUGUUAGAUUGCAUACGAAAAUCUUAAAAUAGCAUGUGCCACAUUGACUGUGCAGAAUAUUGUGCUUACUGCAAAGACUAUCUUUAGCCCGUUUAUUAUCAUAUUGUGGCUUCAACACAGAUAUACUUCACCUGUCGUAUUCUCCAAAAGAAAUAACACAUUUACAGAAGUUAAGGGGAAAACUGAAAAGGAACUAUGUCUACUUGUAAAAUGAACAAACUGAUAUAGGAGCUACUACUCUAGUGCAAUGCAAUACGUAAUCACUGAUUACUAAAUGAAUAUGCUAAACAUACCUCCCUCCUAAAUACACCAUCCCCAACUCCAUAUUUAUUUUUCAAAUAAACGUCUGCAUUUCUUAAGUCUAUUAAACCUUUCAAAAGCUGCUUUUAUAGCUGGAUUUUCAUCCUAUGAUGCUCCAAUAUAAAUUGAACCAAGCGCUCUCUUCUGGUGAGUGAUUUCAUGACAAGUUCAAAAAUGACCAUCACCAAUUUUGCUUGAAUUUUGGAAAACAGUUGAAAUUGGUUCGCUCAGUACUUUUGUAAACAUUUGAUUAUCACAAUCGCGAGUGGAGUAGGGAAAUAUCCUUCAUAAAGAUGGUAGUAGAACAAACAAAACCCAAACACUCUUCAAUACUAACCAACCAUGUCAAUAUUGUGUAAAAAUAACCAUUUAUGUGCAAGCACGUAUUUAUGUGCAAGCACGUAUAGUACCGAGAGAGGGGGGUGGUGAGAAAACCAUUAGAAAGUUUGCUAUGGAAACCCAGAUCGGGCAGUCAACGAGCAAAAGCAAAUUGCCAAUAUGAAAAAUAAGACUAUUUUUUUUCACUAAUCACAGUCUGUUACAGAGGUGUGCUGCUGAAUAAGUUAGCUUAAGUAUCCGAAUUCUCAGAAAGUAACAGUAUUUCUUCAGUGAAUCAGAAGCAUCGGUAUUGGACAUGCUUCAACUCAUUCAUCCUUUUUGCUAGACUUGGCAUCACUCUCUUCUUGAGAUGAAUCGGCAGUCUUUGACUCGUCGAACUCCAACAACUGCAUUAAUAGAAAGUAAAAAGUUGUUAGAACCACACCUAGCAAGCAUACCGCAUUUCGACCACCUUAAGCUCUAAACAUGAUGUUACCAACUUAAAACUAUAAAAUCAUGUUUCCAAUAACUUCAGCAACAUUUGUUCAAAUUUCGCUGCAACAAAAGAUAUUGUGCGGAACCUUUUAAAACUGGUCACAAGUCACAACGAGCAAAGUUGCCUUUAGAAGGUAUUUAACCAAA